rnacentral:rRNA from 1 species
UACGGGGGGGGCAAGCGUUGUUCGGAAUUACUGGGCGUAAAGGGCUCGUAGGCGGCCAACUAAGUCAGACGUGAAAUCCCUCGGCUUAACCGGGGAACUGCAUCUGAUACUGGAUGGCUUGAGUUUGGGAGAGGGAUGCGGAAUUCCAGGUGUAGCGGUGAAAUGCGUAGAUAUCUGGAGGAACACCGGUGGCGAAGGCGGCAUCCUGGACCAACACUGACGCUGAGGAGCGAAAGCCAGGGGAGCAAAGCGGG